rnacentral:lncRNA from 1 species
AGGGAAGCAGGACUUCAUGAUUCAAACUGCCAUCUAUGAAGUGACCUUUGGUACUUUUUCCUUUGACUGCGGGCAUUUGAAACAGGUAAUGCCAUUGUGCCCGGGAGACUCAAGUUACACAUCUUUAUCAGACUCCUGGUUUCUGGACAUUUUAACUGAGCAGGAUCUCACUAUGCAGUCCAGGCUGGCCUUGAUCUUGAGGUGAUCUUCCUGCCUCAGCCUACUGAGUGCUGGGAUUACAGGCAUGCACCACUAUACCUGGCAAGCCACUACUCAUUAUGUAGCCCAUACUGGCUUUGAACUUGUACUCCUGAUGCCUCAGGUUCCCAAGAGCUGGUAUUACAGACACUUCCAGAUGUACCCUGUUCUGAGAAGACUUGGAUCAUAGUACAGCCUGUCCUGUGUCAAAUAGGUGAACACGACUUCUGCUAAGACUUGUGCUUGAGGGUCUGUGCUGUAUGGCCUCACUUAAUAAAAUUUGUAUUAGCACACAUCACUGAGCAAAUGACUCCCUUUAUUUAUAUGACACAUGGAGACUAGCAA